rnacentral:rRNA from 1 species
GAUGAACGCUGGCGGCGUGCCUAAUACAUGCAAGUCGAACGCUGGAAAUCUAGCUUGCUCGAUUGAAGGAGUGGCGAACGGGUGAGAAUACAUAAGCAACCUACCCACGAAGACUGGGAUAAUCUCUGGAAACGGGGACUAAUACCGGAUAGGUAAUCGGAAGGCAUCUUCUGAUUAUUAAAGGUUAAAAACACUGGUGGAUGGGCUUAUGGCGCAUUAGUUAGUUGGUGAGGUAACGGCCCACCAAGACGAUGAUGCGUAGCCGGCCUGAGAGGGUGAACGGCCACAUUGGGACUGAGACACGGCCCAGACUCCUACGGGAGGCAGCAGUAGGGAAUUUUCGGCAAUGGGGGAAACCCUGACCGAGCAACGCCGCGUGAGUGAUGACGGCCUUCGGGUUGUAAAGCUCUGUUGUAAGGGAAGAACGGUAGAUAGAGAAUAUCUAAAUGACGGUACCUUACCAGAAAGCCACGGCUAACUACGUG